rnacentral:sRNA from 1 species
AUGAGGAUUCAGUCAGAUGACACAUGUCAGAUGGCACACCUGGCGUGGAUUAUGGUGCCUGUAGGAGCAGGAGGGCUUCCUGGAGGAGGGGGCUAGUUGAACAGAGUCUAGAAAGAAUAGAUUGGGAAGAGCACUCUGGGAGGCAGGAUCACCAUGUGCAAAGGCUCAGAGAACGCCACCCACUACCUCUUGGAAAUCAAGGGGAUUCUGUGUGUCCAAGGGUCUCUAGGCCCCUGACCUGUGUCUGGGAGGUGUCAAGGGGAAGCCAGAUCCGAGGCCCACACUUGCAUGUUUUCAGGUGAGGUCCAGAGAUAUAUCCAGAGAGGAGUGGAAGGGCUCGGAGACCUACAGCCCCAAUACUGCAUAUGGUGUGGACUUCCUGGUGCCCGUGAUGGGCUACAUCUGCCGCAUCUGCCACAAGUUCUAUCACAGCAACUCAGGGGCACAGCUCUCCCACUGCAAGUCCCUGGGCCACUUUGAGAACCUGCAGAAAUACAAGGCGGCCAAGAACCCCAGCCCCACCACCCGACCUGUGAGCCGCCGGUGCGCAAUCAACGCCCGGAACGCUUUGACAGCCCUGUUCACCUCCAGCGGCCGCCCACCCUCCCAGCCCAACACCCAGGACAAAACACCCAGCAAGGUGACGGCUCGACCCUCCCAGCCCCCACUACCUCGGCGCUCAACCCGCCUCAAAACCUGAUAGAGGGACCUUCCUGUCCCCGGCCUGCCUGGGUCCAGAUCUGCUAAUGCUUUUUAGGAGUCUGCCUGGAAACUUUGACAUGGUUCAUGUUUUUACUCAAAAUCCAAUAAAACAAGGUAGUUUGGCUGUGCA